rnacentral:rRNA from 1 species
CUAACACCGGAUAAUAUCGGUUUAUUUUCGAAUUUUCCGAUCAAAUGUGGCCUCUACAUGUAAGCUACUGUUUGAGGAUGAGCCCGCGUACCAUUAGCUAGUUGGCAGGGUAAUGGCCUACCAAGGCGACGAUGGUUGGCUGGUCUGAGAGGAUGAUCAGCCACACUGGAACUGACACACGGUCCAGACUCCUACGGGAGGCAGCAGUGAGGAAUUUUGCGCAAUGGGGGAAACCCUGACGCAGCAACGCCGCGUGAGUGAUGAAGGCUUUCGGGUCGUAAAGCUCUGUCAAGUGGGAAGAAACUGCUUGUGGUUAAUACCCAUGAGUACUGACGGUACCACUGAAGGAAGCACCGGCUAACUCCGUGCCAGCAGCCGCGGUAAUACGGGGGGUGCAAGCGUUAUUCGGAUUUACUGGGCGUAAAGCGCGCGCAGGCGGUUUUGUAAGUCAGAUGUGAAAGCCCGGGGCUCAACCCCGGAAAGUGCAUCU